rnacentral:rRNA from 1 species
UACGUAGGGUGCAAGAGCUGUCCGGAUUUAUUGGGUUUAAAGGGUGCGUAGGUGGCUUUUUAAGUCAUGGGUGAAAGCCCGCAGCUCAACUGUGGAAUUGCCUGUGAUACUGAGGAGCUUGAGUGCGGUUGAGGCAGCUGGAAUUGGUGGUGUAGCGGUGAAAUGCAUAGAUACCACCAGGAACACCGAUUGCGAAGGCAGGUUGCUAAGCCGUAACUGACACUGAGGCAGGAAAGCGUGGGGAGCAAACAGG